GUCCCUCAUAGGCCUGCGCGUGCGCCUGCGCACUCCGGCCGCCGGGGGUGCAGCUAACGUCGUGUAGGAGACAGCCUGGUCUGGGUGAUGAGUAGAACGUGGACGGAGAGAUGGUGGUGCCCUCCAAGCUACGUCACGGAAGUCCUGCAGCCUCUGUCGUGGCCCUGCUCACCUGCUCUGGAGAAACCACGAGGACACUCAGGCGACACUGUGGAGAGACCACGUGUCCGGGAGCCAGAGGCCUCCACCACCGGCCAGCGCUUGUUUUCUAGCCUUCAUGUGUGCAAGUACCACCUGCCAGGCACAGCAGUGAGCACUGCAGGGACAGCAAUGGUGCUGAGCCUGCUCUCAGGGACCUUACCAUCAGGCGGGGGAGACAGACAGGAUACAGCAGUGAGCACAACAGACAUGGAUGCCUCUACUAGAGGAGCUCAGCUUGUGGGGGUGGAAAGCAGACAACGAACACAACAAAUUCACGGUAUUUCCGGAGGUGAUCUGUGCUUCAGAGAGAAAGCACAGCUGUGGAGAAGGUCCAGUGAGAUGCUGCUGCUGACGGUGGAGUGGCGAUGUGGCCCCGGGGCAAAGCGUGUUCCACAGAGAGCUGCACUUGGAGGCAGGAAUCGGACGAGCAUGCAGAUGACCCACCCAAGGUGGCAAAGCUAAGAGUUGUGCCCAAAAGUAUGCAGAGUGGAUGUGAAGGAGGUGAGAAGCAGCCCUGGCUGAUUGUUAGAGAGGGGUGUUGGGGACGGAGACCGAAAGGAAGGUAGAAGUGGAGUCUGCCUUUGGACAUCCUGAGAUUACAAUCUAGCAGGGCGUGGAAAACACGUCAGGAAGCUGUGCACACGUCUGGCUUCCUAUUGAUCUGGGCCAACUGGUUUCUGUCAAGGAGCUCCCAGACUCCAGGGGAGGGCUUUAGCAUCGGACCUGGAAAGGGGGCAGCAAUCCAAUGAAACCAAAUGUCUGGACCUGUGGUCUAAGUCGGGCUCCAGGAAAUGCUGGCUGGCAUCCUUGGCACCAUUCUGGCAGGCUCUUGGAUGCCACCGCUGCUGGUGGCAAAAAAAAAAAAAAAAAAAAGUACAUCUGAAAAUGCCUUGUGCUCCAGUUGCAGUCCUCUGGGAUGGGGCAUUGGUUUCCAGGGUUUAGGGACCAGGACUCUUUUUCUGUUUGUUUUUAAAUUUAUUUAUUUGAAAGGUAGAACAAGAGAGAGAGCUAGUGAGAGAGUGAGCAUGUCCAUCUGCUGGUUCACUUCCUUCAACAGCCUGGGCUGUGAGCCAGGAGCUCCAUCUGGAUCUCCCACAUGGGUGGCAGGGACCCAAAUACUCGAGCCAUCCUCUAUUCCUCCCAGAGGGUGCAUUAGCAGGAAGCCGGCUAGCAAGCAGAGGCAGGACUUGAUUCCAGAUGGUCCUACAGCUUAACCCGCUGUGCCACAACACCUGCUCCAGGACAGGACAUCUGGCCUUGCCAGGUUUUGUACUAGGAAGGAGGUGGAGGGUUUUUUGUUCCCUGCAAGGUUCCCACCAUGGGAGUAGAUUCCCCAAGGUCAACCACUGGGAGCCAGAGGAGACAAAAGAUCUUGUGUGAGUUUGUUACACUUGCUGGGUGGCUUAAAGCAGCAAUGUGUCCUCUCAUAGUCUGGAGUGCUGAAGUCCCAUGGCGUGGGCUCUGAGUCUAAAUCUUCCCUUUCUAUAAGGACAUCAGCCUGGAGAAGUCUCAUAUUAAUGACUUCAUUUAAAAAAUACACAUAUUUAUUUAUUUUGAAAGUCAGAGUUAGAGAAAGCAAGCGAGAGAGAAUGAGAGCGAGAGAGAGAGAGCGAAUCUUUCAUCUUCUCUGAUUUACUCUCCAUAUGGCUGCAAUGACCAGCGCUGGGCCAUGUUGAAGACCGGAACCAGAAGUUUCAUCCAGGUCUCUCACGUGGGUGGCAGGGGCCCAAACAUGUGGGCCGUCUUCCACUGCUUUUCCCAGGCCUUUAGUAGGGAGCUGGAUUGGAAGGGAAGCAGCCAGGACUUGAACCAGCAGCCGUCUAUAUGAGAUGUCGGCAUUGCAAGAGGCCAUUUUACCUGCUUUGCCACAAUAGCAGCCCCCCUAAUAACCUCAUUUAUAAACACUUUUUAAAAAUUUACUUGAGAGGCAAAGAGAGAUACACACACACACAGACACACACACACAGUCACACAGAGAGAUUUCUCAUCUCCUGAUUCACUCUUGCAGUGCCCACAUGGCCUGACCAAGGCUGAGGUCAAAGUCAGGAGCCAGGAACUCCGUCUAGGUCUCCUGUGUGGGAGGCAGGGACCCAAUCACUUGAGCCAUCACCUGCUGCCUCCCAGGGGUUGAAUUAGCAGGAAGCUGGAGUCAGGAGCUGGGGUUGGGUCUUAAACCCAUGUUUGCUGAUACGGGACCCAGGGAGCGUCCUAACUGGUAUCCUAACUAAAUGCCAGGACAAACAUCUGUCCCCGGUAACCAUGUAUUUUACUUGAUUCCCUCUAUAAAGACCCUCAUUCCAAACAAGGUCCCAUUCUGAAACAGUGAGGGUUAGGGCUUUGGCGUGGGUUUUAGGGGCCACCACUCACCCACAACAGCCCCUGCAGUAGCACGUGGGUUUGGCUCUGUUGUGCCAUUGCUUCACUUCUCUUCAAGAGAAGGAUGGUUUUCAUCCUGCUGGUUUUAGAAAGAUAUUUAUAUAAUUGCCAACUUUUAAUUAUGGAAAUUAAAUAAAUCUGCUUUGCCCUUUCCAUCAUUCAUAAAAGUUGGUUCACAAGCUCUGGUUUGCUCUCAAGUCAUUUCUGUUGAUAGACUGUAGGGCCGACGCUCUGCUCACUCAGAGCGUCCCCAGCCAUGGGAUAAAUGUUUUUUCCAUUAUUAACUUUAUUGUUGUGGUACAAGAAUCAGUCAGAAAAGAGAGGCUGCUGGCACUGCUUUCAGAGAGAAGAGACAUGCUCAGCACGGGGGCUGUGGCAGGGGCCAAAUGCCAAUUUGCAGCCCAGUGCUGUCACCCCCAGCCCACCCAGGAUCCAUGUGUUCAUCUGUCGGGCCUCUUCCGCAAAUGUUUGGGGCCUGCCGGGCUUCAGGAAAAGACUCAGAGGUAUCUGAACAUUGUCAGGCCCGAGAUCGGGGGCACCCCCGUUUGGUCUGCUGGGGCAAGUUUUUCCUGCCUUGGCACCUUGUGUCUUUGUUGCCUGCUCUGCUCUCUCAUUGCAUCAUCCUCAAGGAGAGCGUAACCAUGUUGUGCCAAGUCCUAGACACCCUCUUUCCCUACUUCUUUUGUGUUGUGUCACCUCCUAUGUUUUCCUUCUGAGGCCCAGCAGACCAGAAAUAACGGGGUCAUCAGAGGUUGACAGGGCCCCAGGAUCUAGUCUCCUUGUAAAUAGGGUUAGAAAAAGGAGGUUUGGCAAUGAACCCCGCAGACCCCAAAAUAAACCCACACAGAACGAAAGGAAGGAAAGCAGCAACGUGAAAGACGAGAAACCAGACCACCACUUCCGCUGUUCUGUGGCGAGGGGCUUUGGAAACAUGCAGCUGGCCAGCGAAGCCCCCAGGCCCAGGAGAGCAGGCAGGCUGAGUAAACAGGAAGUGCCAGGAAGCUAUUUUUAUUUGGUGCCGUCUUUACUUUCCCUUGUUUCAGUGGAAAAUGAGUCUGGAUUCCACAAAACUCCUUAGUGAACAACAAAUAUAACUGGAGGCGGUGCCAAAGCUGUCAUUCCUCAGCAGUGGUUUGGACGCGUUUCUUCUUUGCCGAGCCCUUGGAAGGCCCAGGGCUCCGCUCGGGCAGGAAACAGGUGGUUUGCUUUAGAGAAGGCCGGUGGAACGGCCAGCGAGCGAGCCCCGGCCCCAGUGACAGCUCUGUCCUCCUGCGCAGGAGCCUGUUUUCCCAUGAACAGCUGAGAAGCGCGCUGGACCCCACCAUAGCUCAGAUAGUGGUCAGCGUCCCAGGCUGUUCCCAUGAGAUCCCCAGGCCAGAAGGGGAAGACGGGCAUCGUGGACCAGGCUCCCUCAAAGGUGCCCACCCUCUUCUUCAAGGCAGAGCCACCGAGCGUCCACUGGGCACCAGAAAUCCUAGCUGGGAUUGAGGGUGGCGAGAGCUUGGGGUGGGGGUGCAUUGCUCAACAGCGCCCCCCUGCACCGCGACCCAGUCCGUUUUCUAAGCGCCUGCUCAGCUGUAUGGCCCCUGAUGAGAAUGGGAGGAUGAAGAGUUUCAAGUGCUCUUUCUGUUCCUUCCAGCCCGGGUGCUUGGGGGGACUGAUCUCUCCAUGUUGAAAACCAUUCCCCUCAUGUCUCCUGCUCCCUCAGCGCCCCUUUCUGCAAUGCCCCUCUCACUCAGCAAUGCCUUAGUUACCAUCAAGUGACUAUGCACUGGGAUUACAACACCUUUAUGUUUAUUUAUUUAUUUGUAUGGCAGAGUUACAUAGAGAGACAGAGAUGUUCCAUCUGCUGGUUUCUUCCUGGUCUCCCACAUGGGUGCAGGGGCCCAAGAAUUUGGACUGUCUUCCACUGCCUUACCAGGUGCACUAGCAGGGAGCUGAAUCAGAAGUGGAGCAGCCGGGACUCGAACCAGCACCCAUUUGGGAUGUUGGCGCCACAGGCAGCUGCUUUACCCACUAUGCCGUAGCACCAGCCCCAUUAACACCUUUAGAAACUAGCGACGUUGUAACGCUCACUGGGAUUAAACCUAGGGGCAGGUGUUGGGCCUAGUGGUUAAGGUGCCUGCAUCCCAUACUGGAGUACCUGGGUCUGAUUCCUGGUUCUGGCUCCUGACUCCAGCAUUCCUGCCAAUUCCCACCCUGGGAGGCAGCUGUGAUGGCUCAAGUUGGGCCCCUGCCAAUUCAUGUGGCAGCCCUGGCCUCAUCCUGGCCAUUGUGGGCAUUUGGGGAAUGAACCAGUGGCUGAAAGCGCUAACUCUGACUCUCUCUCUCUCUCUCCUCCUCUCCCUCCCUCUCUCUCUCCCCGUCUCUCUACCUCCAAACAGACAAACAAAAAUGACUAAGGCACAGAGACUGGUUUUCUUGGGCCCGUCCUCUCCCAUCUCCCUGGUGGAGCCCCCUCAACAGUGAGGACCCCCAUUGAGCAGAUCAGCACUGUAGUUCCACUACUGGACAGAGCAUCCUCCUGGCUCCCAGAGGGGCUCCCCCUUCCCAUCCGUGGUGCCAGCAGCCCCAUGUGACUGUCGUCUGCUGGGAACCCCACAAGCCCUGUGAAAAUCAGGCCUUUUUGCUGCCCAGGAUCAUGAGUCAGCUGCAGGGGUGGGGGACAGCUGAGCAGAGCAGGGUGAACUUCACACGGCUGGUCUCCUGGAGACAGGCCUUGGGUCCUCCACGGCUCUCACACACAGCAGCUCCCUGGGUCACUGCCUCUCAGCACCUUUGCUGCACCAACAGAUUUGGCUCUUGGCUCUUUCACUCUCACGACUUGCUCUCCCCUGUAACUUCCGGUCACUACUCAUCUUGGCCUGCCCACGGCGCUUUGUUGGCCCGUCUCACCUUCAUGCUCUCCAGGGUGCUCCUGGUGUCGGCUCCCACUCCUCACUCCUUGCUCUCUCCAUGCUCCCAGCUCAAGUUCUGGGGGUUGGGACUCUGGUGCCCAGUGUGGCCUUCUGUGGGCACAGCUUUUCUACCUGAGGCCAUCUCCGAGGCCACUGUGCAGCCUGCCACCCACCUACACUUGGCUAUUUCUGGUAGGAUGUGAUGGGCCACAAAUGCAAGGGUAAAAUUCCAUCAUCACUCCUUCACAUUCAUUUUGCCAUCUCAUGUCAAUAGCAAAUGACUAAUGAAGAUACAGGAGGAAAUGUCAUUAAAUUGUGACAGGGUGAUGGGUGUUCAGUGCAGCAGUUACGAUGUCUUUUGAGACACCUACAUUUCAUGUUGGAGUCCUGGGUUCAAGAUCCAACUCUGCUCUUGAUUCCAGCCUCCUGCUAAUUCUCACGCCUGGAGGCAGCAGUGAUGGUUCGAAGUAGUUGGGUCCCUGUCACCUACGUGGGAGACUUAACCUCCAGUUCUAGGCUCCUGGCUUUGACCUGGCCCAACCCUGGCAGGAGCAGGUAUUUGAGGAGUGAGCCAGUGGAGGGAUAGCUCUCUUUGUCUCUCUGUCUCUCUUUCCAUUUAAGCAAGCUUUUAAAAAUUAAAAAAAAAAAAUUCUGAGGUAAGCUUUUGAAGAUAUAUCAGUUAUAUCCUUUUGUCCACCCUGUGUCUCCAGAAACGAGGCUCAUGCCAUCAUAAACUCAUUAACUUCCCAAAUCAAUCCCAAACUCUUGAGUCAGUUCCACAGCCGGUCACUCAAGUCCUUCCCACCUGCAUUUCUGGUCUUGGUGCACUGUCUUCCUCUUCACAUGUCCCACGUUACAGAUGCCACUGGGCUUCCUUCAAGCUACUCAGUGUCUCCUUUGCUCAUGAGGCCUCCUCCAAGGGCCAGAUUCUGAUGUGCUUCAGAGAGCAGCCCAAUCUCUGCAUGUUUCCUAAGGUUGCUGCAACAGAUCACACGCUUGGUGGCUUGGAAUAACAGAAAUGUGCUCCCUCCCAAUUCUGGGAGCCAGAAGUCAGAAAUCAAAGCUGUCUGUGGGCAGCUCUUCCUCUGAGGACUGCAGGGGAGAAGGCUUCCUUUUCUCUCCAGGGUUCUCCUUUACAGAAACUCCUUGGCUUGUGGUUGUGUGACUUCCCAUCCCUGCCUCUGCUUCUGCCUUCACGGGGCUUUCCCUGUGUGUCUGUCUUCUAUUUCUUAGAAAGACACUAAUGGAUUGACAGUCAUCCAAAGUGAUCCAGGCUGAUCCCAUCUCAAGAACCUUAACUCAAUUACUUUUGCAAAGAAAUAAGGUCACCCUCACAAGCUCCAGGGUUUCAGAGGUGAGCAUUUGUUUUGGACCACCAUUCAACACUCCCCAAUCGUUCUGAAGGCUCUGCCCUUAGCCAGUGACCUUUAUCCCCUCUGAGGUCUCUCAAGUCUCUCAGGGCACUUCUGAUAUUUUACUGUGCAGGGUAGUACCUUGGCUCUAGUGGGAGGCACGUAGGUCACAGAGUUAGACAUCCUGGCUUCAAACCCUCGCUCUGCCACCUGCCUGCUGAAUGACAUGGGUCAAGUCGCUCACUUCCUUUUGCCUGGGCCAGGGCACAGUGAGGCACAUCUAGACCACAAGAUUUAAGGAUGCACUUGGCCCUCUCACCAUCCUGAAGUAAGAUUUUCACUGUGCCCUCGGUGUCUUUGAUUUACCCCACCUUAGUUCUUGCCCUACCCCCGUCUUGGUUUCCUAUUCUGUUACAAGUUUUUUUUUUUUAGCCUAAAAGUGACUUUUUAUUUAUUUUUAAAAAUUUAUUUAUUUGGAAGUCAGAGUUACAGAGAGAGAGAGAGAGAGAGAGAGAGAGGUCCUCCAUCCACUGGUUCACUCCCCAACUGGCCACAAUGGCUGGAGCUGCGCCAAUCCAAAGCCAGGGGCCAAGAGCUUCUUCUGGGCAUCCCACAUUGGUCCAGGGGCCCAAGGACUUGGGCCACCUUCUAUUGCUUUCCCAGGCCAUAGCAGAGAGCUGGAUUGGAAGUGGAGACUUGAAUGGGUGCCCAUAUGGGAUGCCAGCGCUGCAGGCAGUGAAUUUACUCGCUAUGCCACAGCACCGGCCCCAUACUUAUGUCUUAUUAUCAAGUUUUUGGGACUUAAAGAUUCAAUAAAUAAUCAAUGACAUUUUUCUGACUAGACAGCAUGUUCCUCUGGAGCUGGCCUUCAUGUGAAAUUCAUUUAUAUAUUCCUAAUAACCUUAAAUUGCCAAAAUUUGGAAGCAUCCAAUAUGUCUUUCAGUAGAUGAAUGGAUAAAUAAACUCACACAUCCAGACAAUGGCAUCUUAUUCAGUACUAAAAAGAAAUGUGUUAUCAAGUCAGAAAAGACAUGGAGGAGUCGCAGAUCCAUAUUACUAAGUCAAUUCGAAAAGGCUGCAAACUGUAUGAUUCCAACAUUCUGGAAAAGAUAAACUACAGAAACAACAAAAAGAUCAGUGGUUGCCAGGGGUUGAGAAGAGGGAAAGAUUGGGAGGCAGACAUAGGAUUUUAGGGCAUUGAACCUGCUCUGUAGCAUACUAUAAUGGUGGAUACAUGUCAUUACACAUUCAUCCAAAACCAUGAAAGGCACACCACCACGUGUGACCCCUACUGUAAAUGGGGGGCACUGGGUGACUAUAAUGCCUCAGGGUAGGUUCAUCCAUGGAAAUAACAUACCCUGUGGUGGGAGGUUGUUGGCCACAGGGAAGCUGGGGCGCAUGGGACAGAAGACAGAUGGGCAAUGUCAGUACCGCCCCCUCCACUUUGCUGGGAACCAAAAACUGCUCUAAAAGAUAAAAUCAGUUUUUCAAAACAGAUUGAACAUAUUACAUUGAAAAUAGCAGGUGACCAAUUACGUUUGAGUAAAUUAAAGAAUAUCUGCUAAGUUUGAGGCAUAUGGAAAUUGGGUUAAUAGUCUAUAAUUAGGUAAACAACCCUGCAUCAAGGCCCUGGAUCAAGAAGUCUUGGGCUGGUUUAUCUUCUUGUUUGUGCAGUGUUUAGAAGGUUUAGGUGAGUGCUUUGGACCGAAGUAGUAGAGUCCAAACCUCAGAAAAUUUCUGAGGUUGGUUUUCAAAUUAGAGCCAUGAAGGAGAGCGUUCUGAAAGUGGGAUGCAUGCACGUGGAAGGACUGGCCCGUGUCUGGAGAGCAGCAGAUGAAAUAUGCAAAGUGGCUUCGGUCCAUGCAUGCUGGUCUCAUCAGAGAUGGAUAGGCUCCUUCCUGGUUACACCCUUGCCAGCUCUCGCGAAAGGAGGCUCUUGCCUGGAACACAGACACUAUCUUGCAUCUUGCCUGGAACUCUGUGAAACUCUGGGUAGCACCUGGUCCAGCUGGGUGCACACCGAAACACCACAUUUAUUUGAUAUUGGGGUUGAUAUUCUUUUUUUACAUAGUGGUUGGGACUCAUUAAGUCUCACUAAGGAGCAACAUUGAA